rnacentral:rRNA from 1 species
GUAGUCCACGCCCUAAACGAUGGCAACUGGGUGUUGGGGAAGCGAUUUCUCAGUACCGUAGCUAACGCGUGAAGUUGCCCGCCUGGGGAGUACGGCCGCAAGGUUAAAACUCAAAGGAAUUGACGGGGACCCGCACAAGCGGUGGAUGAUGUGGAUUAAUUCGAUGCAACGCGAACAACCUUACCUACCCUUGACAUGUCCGGAACCCCAUCGAGAGGUGGGGGUGCCCGAAAGGGAAUCGGAACACAGGUGCUGCAUGGCUGUCGUCAGCUCGUGUCGUGAGAUGUUGGGUUAAGUCCCGCAACGAGCGCAACCCUUGUCCCUAGUUGCUACGCAAGGGCACUCUAGGGAGACUGCCGGUGACAAACCGGA